rnacentral:rRNA from 1 species
AGAGUUUGAUCAUGGCUCAGAUUGAACGCUGGCGGCAUGCCUAACACAUGCAAGUCGAACGGCAGCGCGGACUUCGGUCUGGCGGCGAGUGGCGGACGGGUGAGGAAUGCAUCGGAAUCUACCUUUUCGUGGGGGAUAACGUAGGGAAACUUACGCUAAUACCGCAUACGACCUACGGGUGAAAGUGGGGGACCGCAAGACCUCACGCGAUUAGAUGAGCCGAUGUCCGAUUAGCUAGUUGGCGGGGUAAUGGCCCACCAAGGCGACGAUCGGUAGCUGGUCUGAGAGGAUGAUCAGCCACACUGGAACUGAGACACGGUCCAGACUCCUACGGGAGGCAGCAGUGGGGAAUAUUGGACAAUGGGCGCAAGCCUGAUCCAGCCAUACCGCGUGGGUGAAGAAGGCCUUCGGGUUGUAAAGCACUUUUAUCGGGGACGAAAUCCGGAAGGUUAAUACCCGUCCGGGAUGACGGUACCCGAGGAAUAAGCACCGGCUAACUUCGUGCCAGCAGCCGCGGUAAUA